rnacentral:rRNA from 1 species
GUCCCCCUACGGGACGCAGCAGUGAGGAAUAUUGGUCAAUGGGAGAGAUCCUGAACCAGCCAAGCCGCGUGAGGGAAGACGGCCCUAUGGGUUGUAAACCUCUUUUGUCGGAGAACAAAACCCGGGACGAGUCCCGGACUGCGUGUAUCCGAAGAAAAAGCAUCGGCUAAGUCCGUGCCAGCAGCCGAGGUAAUACGGAGGACGCGAGCGUUAUCCGGAUUUAUUGGGUUGAAAGGGUGCGUAGGCGGUCCGUUAUGUCAGCGGUA